GGUUAGGGAGAAGUUGCAUAAGGAGGUUCAGCUGGGCAGGGUGGCGGGGCCGUUCAGGGAGCCCCCGUUACCCAACUUCCAACUUGAGAGUAUCACCACUUGGGGUGGUACCCAAGAAGGAGCCCGGCAAGUACCGCCUGAUUCACCAUCUGUCCUACCCCAAGGGGUCGUCAGUUAAUGACGACAUAGACAGGGCCCUUUCCUCGGUUUUGUACGCUUCGUUCGACCAGGCGGUGAAC